rnacentral:rRNA from 1 species
UACGUAGGGGGCAAGCGUUGUCCGGAUUUAUUGGGCGUAAAGAGCGUGUAGGUGGUUUGUCGCGUUGUCCGUGAAAACUCACAACUCAAUUGUGGGCGUGCGGGCGAUACGGGCAGACUGGAGUACUGCAGGGGAGACUGGAAUUCCUGGUGUAGCGGUGGAAUGCGCAGAUAUCAGGAGGAACACCGGUGGCGAAGGCGGGUCUCUGGGCAGUAACUGACGCUGAGGAGCGAAAGCGUGGGGAGCGAACAGG